AAGUCGUAACAAGGUUUCCGUAGGUGAACCUGCGGAAGGAUCACUAAAGUAAACGCCCUCCGGGGCUCUCUUUAUUCACACACCCCUGUGCACUUUGGCCACCUGCCGCGCUUAACUGCGUUAGUAGGUGUGUCUCUUUAUUUAUACCCAUAUACACAAGUCAUUGAAUGUAAAAUCGUUAUAAACUAAUAUAACUUUCAACAACGGAUCUCUUGGUUCUC
rnacentral:misc_RNA from 2 species